CACGUAGGGCGCAAGCGUUGUCCGGAAUUAUUGGGCGUAAAGAGCUCGUAGGCGGUCUGUUACGUCUGCUGUGAAAACCCAGGGCUUAACCCUGGCUUGCAGUGGAUACGGGCAGACUAGAGGCAGGUAGGGGAGAAUGGAAUUCCCGGUGUAGCGGUGAAAUGCGCAGAUAUCGGGAGGAACACCGGUGGCGAAGGCGGUUCUCUGGGCCGAAACUGGCGCUGAGGAGCGAAAGCAUGGGGAGCGAACAGG
rnacentral:rRNA from 1 species